GCAUAAUCUUAAGAAGUCACCUCACUCUCUUGACCACAGGCCCCUCAUUUGUGGAGGUGGAUUUGAAACCAUUUAUCUUAUAAGGUUACCGUGCAGAUUAAAUAAGACAAUGUAGGAAAAACUGUUAGCACAAUAGCAGGUAAAGCUGAAACAGAUGGUUACUAAGGAGACUAUCAGCUUUAUGACCUGAAGAAAGCAAAAUUUCACCCCUGGAAAAAAGUCUGCUACCUCACAAGCAGACAGCCUUUGAAUGUGAACUGGAACAUCAGCUCUCCUGGGUCUCCAGCCUGUUGGCCCAACCUACAGAUUUCAGACUUGCUAGUCUCUAUAAUCAUGUGGCUCAGUGCAAACAGCAUGUCUUGGAGUGAAGUAUAUCGGAGUGAAAUCUCAGGUCCACCAGUCACCAAAUCCUCUACAUGCUAACUCUCUCUUCUGUAAAAUCAAUUGCUAUUUCACAGAAUAAUUGGACUAAGAAAGACAAUAUAUAAAGAGCUAAUAAUGGAGAUACAAUAAAAUGUUUGUUUUCUUUC